UUCCAUGGCUAUACCACCCUGAACGCGCCUGAUCUUGAAGUUAAGCAGGAUCAGGCCUGGUUAGUACUUGGAUGGGAGAGAAGCGUGGUCCUUGGUAC
ensembl:rRNA 5S_rRNA 5S ribosomal RNA